GGGCCCGUGGCGGAACUGGCAGACGCGACGGACUUAAAAUCCGUUGGUGGUUCAUCCCACCGUGCGGGUUCGAUUCCCGCCGGGCCCA
rnacentral:tRNA from 1 species